UCAGCAUGUAGUCAGAGCAGGAGGGGUGUUAGGGUUCACUCAGGAACCAACCUUGGGAGAAGAAUUUGGGGGAAUUCUUGCUGCCUGCUGAUCAGUUCAGGAUUCCUGCCUGGAAAACUCCACCAGGUGAACUCCCAUCAGCUGGGCAGAAUGAAGCUGUUGGUUUGUAUCUUCUUGGCCUCUCUUGCUGCUGCUGCUACUGCACAUCUACACACAGACCCGACGCUGGAUAACCACUGGGAGCUCUGGAAG